UACGUAGGGACCGAGCGUUGUCCGGAAUCAUUGGCGUAAAGAGCGUGUAGGCGGCUAUUUAAGUCCUGCGUGAAAUCCUGCGGCUCAACCGCAGACGGUCGUGGGAAACUGGAUGGCUAGAGUGCGGGAGAGGAGAGUGGAAUUCCCGGUGUAGCGGUGAAAUGCGCAGAUAUCGGGAAGAACACCCGUGGCGAAGGCGGCUCUCUGGAACGCAACUGACGCUGAGACGCGAAAGCGUGGGGAGCAAACAGG
rnacentral:rRNA from 1 species